rnacentral:rRNA from 1 species
CCCUUCGGGGGAAAGCCGGGGACCUUCGGGCCUGGCGCGAUUGGAUGAGCCCAUGUCGGAUUAGCCAGUUGGCGGGGUAAUGGCCCACCAAGGCGACGAUCCGUAGCUGGUCUGAGAGGAUGAUCAGCCACACUGGAACUGAGACACGGUCCAGACUCCUACGGGAGGCAGCAGUAGGGAAUAUUGGACAAUGGGCGCAAGCCUGAUCCAGCCAUGCCGCGUGAGUGAAGAAGGCCCUCGGGUUGUAAAGCUCUUUUGUCCGGAAAGAAAAGCGCCGGGUUAAUACCCUAGUGUCCUGACGGUACCGGAAGAAUAAGCACCGACUAACUUCGUG